rnacentral:lncRNA from 1 species
GGUCGGCUGGAGCAGUGGCUCAGUGGUUAAGAGCAUUUGUUGCGACUUCAGAGAACCUGAGUUGGAUUCCCUGCACCCAGAUGGUGGCCCCCAGCCAUCCCUAACUCCAGAUCCCUAGUUCCAAGCAGCCUUGGUACACUGACUUCUUUGGGCAUACAUGUGGUGUGCAUACCAGCAUGUAAGCAACUUACUCAUAGAUAAAAUACAUAUUUUUAAAAAUUGGCUGCUCUUACAGGGGCCCCAGGUUUGAUUUCCACAACAGAUUUCACAACAGCAAACAGCUGUCUGAAAGUUUAGUUCCAGAGGGUUGGUCACUUUUUUCUGGCUUCCUCAGACCCUGUAUGCACCUGGUGCACAGACAUAUAUACAGACAAAACAGCCACACCCAUAAAAUAAAAAUAAAUAAAGCUUGGGGGGAAAAAAGAGGUGAGGUGUAAGGGGAACCAAGUAUUUAUGAUGGUGUACAUCUGUUCUCCGAGCACUUGUGAGGUAGAGCAGGAAGUUUGGGAGUUCAAGAUUGUAUUCAGCUAUGAAAUUAGUUCAAGACCAGCUGCAAACAGGACUACCUUAGACCUGUCUCAAGAAGAAAAAAAAAAAAAAGCAUGGGCUGCAGAAUGGCUUAUUAGUUAAAGGCAACUGCUGCUCCUCCAGAGGACCUGCAUCCAGCCUUCAGUAGUCACUAUGGGUGGUCCACAUGGUAGGUGACUGAAGAGCCAGAGCACAGUCAGAUCCCCUGAACUGCAGUUACGGAUGUGGGUGCUGGGAAAGAAACCAAGGCCCUCUGGAAGAGCAACCAGUGCUCCUAACUGUUGAGACAACUCUCCAGCACCCAUAAAUAUUUUUUUUAAAGAUAAAUUUUAGGGCUGAAGAGAUGACUGUUCCUGCAGAAGACCUGGAUUUGAUUCCCAGAACCUACAUGGUGGCCAACAACAAACCAUAAUUCCAGGUCUGUGGACAUCUGACAGCCUCUUCUGACUUUCUUGGGCACCAGGCACACACACUGUACACAUACACAUGUGCAGGGAAAACACUCACUCACGUAAAGUAAAUAAAUCU